rnacentral:rRNA from 1 species
UUUGAACGCACCUUGCGCUCCUUGGUAUUCCGAGGAGCAUGCUGUUUGAGUGUCAUUAAUAUCUAUAUCAAUCCCUCCUUCUCUUGUGUAGGAGUGGUUGGAUUUGGGGGUUUUGCUGGCCUCUUAAAAAAGGUUCAGCUCCCCUGAAAUGCAUUAGCAGAACAUCCUUGUUCAUUGGCGUGAUAACUAUCUAUGCUAUUGAAUGUGAGGUGCAGUUCAGCUUCUAACAGUCCUUUGGACAAAUUCAUCAUUAAUGUGACCUCAAAUCAGGUAGGACUACCCGCUGAACUCAAGCAUAUCAUAAGGGAGG